AGAGUUUGAUCAUGGCUCAGAAUCAACGCUGGCGGCGCGCCUAACACAUGCAAGUCGAACGAGAAAGUGGAGCAAUCCAUGAGUACAGUGGCGUACGGGUGAGUAACACGUGGGUAAUCUACCCUUUGGUGGGGAAUAACUCUGGGAAACUAGAGCUAAUACCGCAUAAUCCCGAGAGGGAAAAGCAGCAAUGCGCCGAAGGAGGAGCCCGCGGCCGAUUAGCUAGUUGGUAGGGUAAAAGCCUACCAAGGCAAAGAUCGGUAGCCGGCCUGAGAGGGCACACGGCCACACUGGCACUGAAACACGGGCCAGACUCCUACGGGAGGCAGCAGUGGGGAAUCUUGCACAAUGGGGGAAACCCUGAUGCAGCGACGCCGCGUGAGCGAUGAAGCCCUUCGGGGUGUAAAGCUCUUUCGGCAGGGAAGAUUAUGACGGUACCUGCAGAAGCAGCUGCGGCUAACUACGUGCCAGCAGCCGCGGUAAUACGUAGGCAGCAAGCGUUGUUCGGAGUUACUGGGCGUAAAGGGUGUGUAGGCGGCUUCCUAAGUUUGGCGUGAAAUCUCCCGGCUCAACCGGGAGGGUGCGUCGAAUACUGAGAGGCUAGAGUGCGGGAGANGAAAGUGGAAUUCCUGGUGUAGCGGUGAAAUGCGUAGAUAUCNNNNGAACACCGGUGGUGUAGACGGCUUUCUGGACCGUAACUGACGCUGAAACACGAAAGCGUGGGUAGCAAACAGGAUUAGAUACCCUGGNAGUCCACGCCCUAAACGAUGCAUAUUUGGUGUGGGUCAUUCAGUUGAUCCGUGCCGGANCUNACGCGUUAAAUAUGCCGCCUGGGGAGUACAGUCGCA
rnacentral:rRNA from 1 species